AAAUUGAAGAGUUUGAUCAUGGCUCAGAUUGAACGCUGGCGGCAGGCCUAACACAUGCAAGUCGAACGGUAACAGGAAGCAGCUUGCUGCUUUGCUGACGAGUGGCGGACGGGUGAGUAAUGUCUGGGAAACUGCCUGAUGGAGGGGGAUAACUACUGGAAACGGUGGCUAAUACCGCAUAACGUCGCAAGACCAAAGAGGGGGACCUUCGGGCCUCUUGCCAUCAGAUGUGCCCAGAUGGGAUUAGCUAGUUGGUGAGGUAACGGCUCACCAAGGCGACGAUCCCUAGCUGGUCUGAGAGGAUGACCAGCCACACUGGAACUGAGACACGGUCCAGACUCCUACGGGAGGCAGCAGUGGGGAAUAUUGCACAAUGGGCGCAAGCCUGAUGCAGCCAUGCCGCGUGUAUGAAGAAGGCCUUAGGGUUGUAAAGUACUUUCAGCGGGGAGGAAGGUGUUGCGGUUAAUAACCGCAGCAAUUGACGUUACCCGCAGAA
rnacentral:rRNA from 1 species